rnacentral:rRNA from 1 species
CAGCAGCCGCGGGAAUACGUAGGUGGCAAGCGUUGUCCGGAAUUAUCGGGCGUAAAGGGCUCGCAGGCGGUUUCUUAAGUCUGAUGUGAAAGCCCCCGGCUCAACCGGGGAGGGUCAUUGGAAACUGGGAAACUUGAGUGCAGAAGAGGAGAGUGGAAUUCCACGUGUAGCGGCGAAAUGCGUAGAGAUGUGGAGGAACACCAGUGGCGAAGGCGACUCUCUGGUCUGUAACUGACGCUGAGGAGCGAAAGCGUGGGGAGCGAACAGGAUUAGAUACCCGUGUAGUCCCUGUCUCUUAUAC